GAGUUCUCCCUGAGACUUUAAGUCUCCUGAAGGAACGUUAAAGACGAUGACGUUGAUAGGCCGGGUGUGUAAGCGCAGCGAUGCGUUGAGCUAACCGGUACUAAUGAACCGUGAGGCUUAACCUU
rnacentral:rRNA from 1 species